rnacentral:rRNA from 1 species
CCGGAGAAUGUUAUCACGGGAGACACACGGCGGGUGCUAACGUCCGUCGUGAAGAGGGAAACAACCCAGACCGCCAGCUAAGGUCCCAAAGUCAUGGUUAAGUGGGAAACGAUGUGGGAAGGCCCAGACAGCCAGGAUGUUGGCUUAGAAGCAGCCAUCAUUUAAAGAAAGCGUAAUAGCUCACUGGUCGAGUCGGCCUGCGCGGAAGAUGUAACGGGGCUAAACCAUGCACCGAAGCUGCGGCAGCGAACGUAUCACUUAAAGCGAUUCAGCGGGUUACGAUURACGGAGCGAAGCGACGUCAAAGCGUAUACAAAGUCGAGUCGGUUUAAGGAUACGUUCGUUGGGUAGGGGAGCGUUCUGUAAGCCUGYGAAGGUGGCCUGUGAGGGUUGCUGGAGGUAUCAGAAGUGCGAAUGCUGACAUAAGUAACGAUAAAGCGGGUGAAAAGCCCGCUCGCCGGAAGACCAAGGGUUCCUGUCCAACGUUAAUCGGGGCAGGGUGAGUCGACCCCUAAGGCGAGGCCGAAAGGCGUAGUCGAUGGGAAACGGGUUAAUAUUCCCGUACUUGGUGUUACUGCGAAGGGGGGACGGAGAAGGCUAUGUUGGCCGGGCGACGGUUGUCCCGGUUUAAGCGUGUAGG